rnacentral:rRNA from 1 species
UACAGAGGUCUCAAGCGUUUGUCCGGAAUCAUUGGGCGUAAAGAGCGUGUAGGCGGCCAGAUAAGUCCGCUGUGAAAAUCUCGAGGCUCAACUUCGAGCUGUCGGUGGAAACUGUCUGGCUAGAGUCCGGAAGAGGAGAAUGGAAUUCCUGGUGUAGCGGUGAAAAUGCGCAGAUAUCAGGAAGAACACCCGUGGCGAAGGCGGUUCUCUGGGACGGUACUGACGCUGAGACGCGAAAGCGUGGGGAGCGAAACGG